GGGGUACACCCCGGACAAGUCGCUACCUCAUCGCAGGGCCAACACAGAUAGACAGACAACAUUCACACACUAGGGCCAAUUUAGUGUUGCCUAUCAACCUAUCCCCAGGUGCAUGUCUUUGGAAGUGGGAGGGGCCUAUCCCCAGGUGCAUGUCUUUGGAAGUGGGAGGAAGCCGGAGUACCCAGAGGGAACCCACGCAUUCACGGGGAGAACAUGCAAACUCCACACAGAAAGAUCCCGAGCCUGGAUUUGAACCCAGGACUGCAGAAACUUCGUAUUGUGAGGCAGACGCACUAACCCCUCUCCCACCGUGAAGCCCUUGUUGUAAGUUGAUCUUCUUUUUUCUUUAAUGUAAAUAUCAAUAUAAUUUUAUGCAGAGGUGUACUUAUAACAAUUUCAUAGACAAAUUAUACUACCGGUAUUCAUAGUCUUCUUUCUACAGGCGUCGGAACAGAAAAUAAUUGAGAAGCGCUGAUAUGUAACAAUAUAUACAGUGGUGGUCAAAAGUGUACGUACACUUGUGAAGAACAUGAUGUCAUGGCUGUCUUCACUUUCCAACUCUUAUUUUUUUGUCAUGUAGUGAUUGGAGCACAUACUUGUUGCUCACCAGGGGCGUCACUAGACCUAAUACUGUACUGGGGCACACCUGGGGCACAAAUAAUUAGUGUGAGCGUGCAAAGCGUGCAAGCAAAAAAUUUUUUAGCACUUAUUUAUCAUAAAAAAUACAUAAAUAGUGCUUUAAACUAUGAAAUCAUAUCAGAUGAUGUUGUAUGGAUCUUUGAUGAACCACCUGAAAUUAACUCAUGCAUUUGACCUACUUGUGCACUUUUUUGCUCCAGACUUCUAAACUGCUACUGGUAAAAGCAAAAAGGAAGAGCAAUUAAUCUUUUUGAAAUAUAUAUUGCAGUAAUCAUCUGCAAAUUUAACCUCUGCAAAAGUAAAACAAAAAAUAAAGCACCCCUACUUUAUCACUUUUAUGCAGAUGACUGCCAAAUUUAUAUGCCGAUUUCAAAAAGCCACGGCCCCCUGACACCCCUUCCUAACUGUCUAUGUGACGUCAAGGCUUGGUUAGCCCAGAUUUUUUUAAUAAUGAAUGAGGGAAAAACGGAAAUUUUAGUUUUUGGUCCGGCCCUCACUGACUUGGGACCAUUGCAAAAUGAUGUGCGUCCCAAAGUUACCAGCCUUGGCGUCACUAUAGACAGCGAUUUUAAACUAGACAAACAAGUCAAUGGCGUUUUAAAAUUGUGUUUUUAUCACCUUCGUCUUUUAGUAAAGGUUAAACCGUUUUUAUCUUUUAACCUUUUUGAAGAAGUGGUGCAUGCUUUUAUUUCAAGUCACCUGGACUACUGCAAUGCACUUUAUGCUGGCAUUAGCCAAAAAGCUCUCUCCCGGUUGCAGUUAGUCCAGAACGCGGCAGCAGGACUUUUAACAGGGACCAGGAAACGCCAGCUUAUAACCCCAAUUCUUCAGAGUUUGCACUGGCUCCCUGUUCAUUUUAGAAUUGAUUUUAAAACAUUGCUGUUUGUUUUUAAAUCUUUACAUGGACUGGCACCUCAGUAUAUCUCGGACCUCAUCCAAAUUUACAUCCCUGCGCGCGCUCUGAGGUCCGAGAGCCAGUUCCAGCUCAUGGUGCCCAUGACCAGACUUAAGACCAGGGGAGACAGGGCCUUCUCUGUGGUUGGCCCUAAGCUCUGGAACACUCUGCCUCUCCAUGUUCAAACUGCUUCCACAGUGGAGUGUUUUAAGUCUCGUCUUAAGACCCACUUUUAUUCUUUGGCUUUUAACACUAUGUGAGUUGUGUGGUCCUCUGUUCUAUGUUGUCCUCUGUGUUUUUUAUACACUUUUAUUUUUAUUUUACUGUUUUAAUUGAUUUUACCCUUUAAAAUAGUUUUUAAUCAUAUUUGUUUUUAUAUUGUUUUUAUUGGUUUUAUUUUUAUUCAUUUUUUGUUUUAUUCAGUCAUUGGUGGAGCAUAAUAUUGUUUUUAACAUGGCUGUGCAGCACUUUGGAAACGUUAUUGUUGCUUAAAUGUGCUAUAUAAAUAAAGUGGAUUGGAUUGGA